AAGUCGUAACAAGGUAACCGUAGGUGAACCUGCGGUUGGAUCAUUACUGAUUAGUUUGCGUGUCGUUUUUCUCUCGGGGGAAACGAUACGUAGACGAAAACACCCCCUUUGUGAACUUAUAACCUGUUUUGGAGUUGGCUCCACCUUAAAGGACUUUUUUCAAUGGUAUUUUUAAUACUUGUUGGGGGAUUUCCCGGGAGCCUUCGCCGCAUUUGACCACACCUUAGUAUUUUUAUGUAUUACAUGUCUCCAUGCGAUUCAACUGAGAAACGCGUAUUAAAUUUAAUACAACUUUUGACAACGGAUCUCUUGGCUCUC
rnacentral:misc_RNA from 1 species